AUUCUACUCCCUCCGUUCCACAAUACAUGCCUUCUAUUUGUCAAAAUAUAGAUGUAUCUAGACAUGUUUUAGUAUAUAGGUACAUCCAUUUUUGGACAAAUGGAAGUCAAGUAUUUUGGAAUAGAGGAGUACACA
rfam:Triticum aestivum genome assembly, contig: Triticum_aestivum_CS42_TGACv1_scaffold_130817_2BL